GACGUAGGAGGCGAGCGUUGUCCGGAUUCAUUGGGCGUAAAGAGCGCGCAGGCGGCUUGGUAAGUCGGAUGUGAAAUCCCGAGGCUCAACCUCGGGUCUGCAUCCGAUACUGCCCGGCUAGAGGUAGGUAGGGGAGAUCGGAAUUCCUGGUGUAGCGGUGAAAUGCGCAGAUAUCAGGAGGAACACCGGUGGCGAAGGCGGGUCUCUGGGCCGAUACUGACGCUGAGGAGCGAAAGCGUGGGGAGCGAACAGG
rnacentral:rRNA from 1 species